rnacentral:rRNA from 1 species
AACGAACGCUGGCGGCAUGCCUAACACAUGCAAGUCGAACGAGACCUUCGGGUCUAGUGGCGCACGGGUGCGUAACGCGUGGGAACCUGCCCUUAGGUUCGGAAUAACUCCCCGAAAGGGGUGCUAAUACCGGAUAAUGUCUCCGGACCAAAGAUUUAUCGCCUUUGGAUGGGCCCGCGUUGGAUUAGCUAGUUGGUAGGGUAAAAGCCUACCAAGGCGACGAUCCAUAGCUGGUCUGAGAGGAUGAUCAGCCACACUGGGACUGAGACACGGCCCAGACUCCUACGGGAGGCAGCAGUGGGGAAUAUUGGACAAUGGGCGAAAGCCUGAUCCAGCAAUGCCGCGUGAGUGAUGAAGGCCUUAGGGUUGUAAAGCUCUUUUACCCGGGAUGAUAAUGACAGUACCGGGAGAAUAAGCCCCGGCUAACUCCGUG